rnacentral:rRNA from 1 species
AUUGAACGCUGGCGGCAGGCCUAACACAUGCAAGUCGAGCGGAUGAAGAGAGCUUGCUCUCUGAUUUAGCGGCGGACGGGUGAGUAAUGCCUAGGAAUCUGCCUGGUAGUGGGGGAUAACGUUCCGAAAGGAACGCUAAUACCGCAUACGUCCUACGGGAGAAAGCAGGGGACCUUCGGGCCUUGCGCUAUCAGAUGAGCCUAGGUCGGAUUAGCUAGUUGGUGAGGUAAUGGCUCACCAAGGCGACGAUCCGUAACUGGUCUGAGAGGAUGAUCAGUCACACUGGAACUGAGACACGGUCCAGACUCCUACGGGAGGCAGCAGUGGGGAAUAUUGGACAAUGGGCGAAAGCCUGAUCCAGCCAUGCCGCGUGUGUGAAGAAGGUCUUCGGAUUGUAAAGCACUUUAAGUUGGGAGGAAGGGCAUUAACCUAAUACAUUAGUGUUUUGACGUUACCAACAGAAGAAGCCCCGGCUAACUUCGUGCCAGCAGCCGCCGUAAAAC